AGUUGUGUUCGUUAUUAUGGAGAUUCUUAUCUAGAAUUUCAGAAUGUGGCUUUAAAUCCACAAAAUAACAUCUCCCUAGAAUUUCAGACCUUCAGCUCCUAUGGACUUCUGCUGUAUGUCAAGCAAGACUCAAAUUUAGUAGAUGGAUUUUUUAUUCAAUUGUUUAUUGAAAAUGGUACUUUAAAGUACCACUUUUACUGUCCUGGUGAAGCAAAAUUUAAAAGCAUUAAUACUACUGUUAGAGUGGACAACGGGCAAAAGUAUACACUGCUUAUCAGGCAAGAAUUGGAUCCAUGUAAAGCUGAGCUGACUAUUUUAGGGAGGAAUACACAAAUAUGCGAAUCUAUCAAUCAGGUACUCGGAAAACCCCUGCCAAAAUCAGGAUCUGUCUUCAUUGGUGGAUUUCCAGACCUUCAUGGGAAAAUCCAGGUAUUUCUAUAGAUGUUUUGAAAUAUUAAUUAUUGAAAAUAAUUAUUGAAAAUCAUCAUAUUGAUAAAUGAAAAAGAAAAACUUUAGAAAUAUUUUCUGGCUAGUGGGGCCAUCUGCAUGGUUUCAAAAAAGUUUUUGAGUGACUCU